rnacentral:rRNA from 1 species
UACGUAGGGUGCAAGCGUUAAUCGGAAUUACUGGGCGUAAAGCGUGCGCAGGCGGUUAUGUAAGACAGAUGUGAAAUGCCCGGGCUUAACCUGGGAACUGCAUUUGUGACUGCAUCGCUGGAGUGCGGCAGAGGGGGAUGGAAUUCCGCGUGUAGCAGUGAAAUGCGUAGAUAUGCGGAGGAACACCGAUGGCGAAGGCAAUCCCCUGGGCCUGCACUGACGCUCAUGCACGAAAGCGUGGGGAGCAAACAGG